AAAACUUUCAACAACGGNUCUCUUGGUUCUGGCAUCGAUGAAGAACGCAGCGAAAUGCGAUAAGUAAUGUGAAUUGCAGAAUUCAGUGAAUCAUCGAAUCUUUGAACGCACAUUGCACCUUCUGGCAUUCCGGGAGGUAUGCCUGUCCGAGCGUCAUUU
rnacentral:rRNA from 1 species